AACGUGGGUAACCUGCCCGGAAGUGGGGAAUACCUCGGGGAAACUCGAGCUAAUACCGCAUAACAUCUUUAGGACGAUGGUCCUGACGAUCAAAGCGGGGUCGCAAGAUCUCGCGCUACCGGAUGGGCCCGCGUCUGAUUAGCUAGUUGGUGGGGUAACGGCCCACCAAGGCUUCGAUCAGUAACCGGCCUGAGAGGGCGAUCGGUCACACUGACACUGACAUACGGGUCAG
rnacentral:rRNA from 1 species